rnacentral:lncRNA from 1 species
UUGAAGCAGAGUUGAGGAAGCAUUCCAACAGAGAGCUGGAUCAAAUUAGGGAUUUUCUCACACAUUUAAAACCCUAAUCAGCAUAUCAUGCUAAUGGAAAUAGUACACCCAACUCACGAUACCUGCCUUCAUUGAUCUUCAAUUACCUCUGUCUAUUUCUGAAGCGUUUAGGAAACAUCGAACAGCCCUCGCGUUCUUCAAUUCACGGUACCUGUUUACAUCGAACAAUCACCGUCGGCGGCUUCGUCAUCGGAAGCGUUUAGAAUCCAAUGAAACUUAUAUUCAGGACAUGGAUUCAGGUUUAUCAUCUUAUUUUUGAGACAAGUCAUCCGAUUUAAUGCAGAUAGCGUCUUCUUCUUGAAGUGCAUUUCGUCGAACAACUUCAGAUAUGGAAUCUGAGGUCUCAAGUGAAGUUUACCAUUCUCUGCACUUGCGUAAGAGCUCUAAGCCACCUAUUAGUUGAAAAGGCAAAUUUGUUGUUGUAGAUCUUGCAGGCUCUGAGCGUGCUCACAAGUCAGGAAGUGAGGGACUCACAUUAGAGGAAGCUAAAUCUUGAAAAAAUCUUCCAUUAAGUGCAGAAAUGCUCUUGGAAGUAAUAGUCCUCAUGUACCAUAGAUGAUAGUCUUUCAGCAAGAAACUUGGAGAUAAAUGUAGUUAUUUGACGACUUGCUUCUACAACACAGGAGUUGGCUCAUUUCCACUCCGGGAAUGAAGAUGACAUGUAUUUGGCUUACUCUUGACUUUCGUCCAUAUUAGCUUGCUGACUCGUCAUGUAUGAAAGAGUUAAAUCUUGACAAUGGGAGUAAAUCUCGAAGCGUUUUGUCAAUGGAUGGCUUAGCUUGUACAUAAGUGGCGACUAACCAAACCUGUUUGAUUUGUUUUGUACAUGCUUCAGUCCUAGAUCUUGGCCGAAACUCAAAGAUUUUGUUGGAGAUAGUUGGUUUGUUUGGGGAUUCUCGAUGUUCUUGCUUAGAUUAUUCCUAUGAGUAUUGAUUCAUGUUUCAUAAAUACUUGCUCGUGUAUAUAAUACGCACCAAAAUGUUGUAUAUCUUUCCGGUCGUCAUGUUAAGGAAUCAUGGUUAAGUCUAUUGAUAUUGAAGCUGCUUAUCUCCCAUCAAUGCGCUUAUAUUCUUGGUUAAAGGUGAAGUGACUUAAGUGCUUCCUUAAAAAGUUGAUGACUGUUUCGUUUGUCAAAAGCAUACAUCUCUGUUUCUGUAAAUAGCAACUAGAAGGUAGGGGUUUCACUUCUACAGCAAUAAAUGCUUUUGUUAGAGGAAUUGAGAUUACCAGAAGUGAUGGUAGUAUGAUACGUUUGGAGCGCCUUGAAUAUCAUGUACGAGAAGAACUUAAUAAAACAGCUUCUUGUGCGAUGGUUGUGCUACAUCCACUAAAGUUAUUACCAAUCUUGAACCAAGUUCAAUAAUAGAUCUUGAUGCAAAGAAAUGGCCAGAUGCCCCUGUUGAUGAUGCAUCUUCAUACUACAAGGUAGACUUCUCACUCUCUCUCUCUAUGUAUUGGUAUUAUGAUGGUGUAUUGCAAAAAUGGGCAGGUUGGGUAACAGGUCAGGUACGUUGGGGCCGUACUAAAUGGCACCAACGGGUCAGCUUCAUAAAACGGGUCAAGCAGGUAAGCUUUUUUAGAUAGGUAGAACAGUCAUUUUCUUUUUAACGGGUCGAAUGAGUUCAUUUUACCAAAGGGUGAAACAAGAUAGAUUUCUUACUUAGGUAACACGGUUAAAAUGAGUGACUGGAUCGGCGUUGCUUGGCUCCCCCCCCCCAACCCCCUGCCGCACGCCGGGCUUCAUAGCCACGCCAGCAGGCAACACCGCAACCCACGCUGACCCGAUGUGGCUGAACCGGCGUUGCUUGGCUUUCCCGCCCUAACCCACGCCCCACGGUCUAAGUAGUGGUCAUUUAGUUUUUUGUUAGUUUUUGGCAAAAGUCAGUUUUAGUUCUAUCCGCCGACAUUUUAAGGCUAAUGGUGAAUAUUAUAUUCUAUUUUGUUUAUUCAACUAUAAAGUGGCUGUCUGAAUGAAUAUAACAAAACCGUCUACACACUUGUGACGUUCGUUUUCCUUUUAUAAAAAGAAUGGUGUUUUUCUUUGUCCUGUUGUAUAAUUUUGUCUACACUUAAUAUAGGUUAGCUUUUUUAUGUCACAUUACUUCAUAUAAUUGUGUAAUCUGACUCUGUUUUAUAUCUUUAUAUUCAUUCAUUCAUUCAUGUUAUAUUACAUUAACAUACGUAACCCUUCCAAUCGACCCCACUCCCAACGUCGUCUCUCUCAAUAGCGUCUUCACUCUCUCUGGCCUCACUCUCUCUGUCUCUGAAGAUGUAGUCACCGGCAACCGGGAGACAAACAUGUAGUGUGUCACUUUGAAGAGGGAAGAGUAGAGGUCAAGCACUGAUAUUUGAUUGUUUAAAUUACAAAACUACCCCUGAGAAGCCUUUUAUGUUUUGUUAUUACUAGGGCAAUACUAAAUAAAUAUUACUUGGACAGAUAUAUAUGAAAGUCUGAGAUUUGGUUGUCGAGUUAAGAAAUCAAAAGUAUUGUAAAUAUUUCAAAUGUAACUUCGUUAAGUGCGUCAUUCAGUCAUUUAUAUAUGAUUUAUUUUAUUUAUGGAAUUUGAUAUGUGAAAAUUCUGGGCAAUAAGAUUUGUGUUAAUUAGGCAAAUAUUUAUUCCUUAAUCAAUUACAAAACGAAUAUCGAUAUCGAUGUCGUUCGAUGGGUAUCAGUUUGGUUUAUCACAGUACCAUAUCGCGUUGCGGUGGCAACAACGUUUUACGAGUACUUAAUAAGUAUAUUUUUUUUUACCAUGCAACGCGAUGCGUCGGCAACAACGUGUUUACGACUAUGUUACACGCGUUACGAUGAUGACGUUAACAUCUAAUGGUCGUGCAUAACAUGACUUUUGACACAUGUUACAUCGGUAUCAUUAAUAUGGUAGAAUAAUUAUUAGUUUUCUGUUUUAUUAUUAUUAUUAUUUUUUUGCAAAUAAUUACACUUAGUGGUUCACAUCAAUCAAUGAUAGAACAAGUAUGAAAGACCGGGGAUUGGAGCUAUUUUUAAGUUUUUGACUUCUUAAAAGUUAAUUGUAGUGUUUGGAUAAUGUGUUUUGAGAAUGAGUUUUAGUGGUUUGAAAAGAAGAAAAAGAAAAGUUAGAUGGUUGUAAUUUUUUCAAAUAGG